CAUACUCCGGUUUGUUCCUUAGGUUGGAUGGCAAACUGGAGCAUGGAGGGUUCAAUACAUGUCACAAUGCUGAUAUCUCAUCUCGACGAUGCCGAACUCGGCUAAGAAUUACUGGGAGUUUGGUACCAGCAACAUUGGCUUAACUCCUAUCUUCAUUACAGUUCAGGAUCUCAAUGAUCUCCGGUAGAUAUUGCUUGUAUUGUUCUGUAAAGAAAAAGAAAGCUAGCAUCCGUAAAUACCAAAUCCCGCCACACCGGGAAAAUAAACAUUUUAUUUAUUCCUAAAAUACCUUGAACCCUAAUACCCUCCCCAUUUCGCACGCCCCCCCCAUCGCUCGACGCCCGGUACCCUGUUCAUCCGCUAUUUUCCUAACCCCAAUCCCCCUUCCCCUAUUCCAUAUACCCCGUCCGCCCGCCGGCCCUCCUGACUGCCGGCUUCCUCCCCCUCCGUCGACAGGCGGCGGCGGUGGCCCUGCGAGCGUCGGCCUCCUCCAAGCUCCGCGCGGCCAGGAAGGGAAGCUCUCUCAUUGAUCGCCGAUCCUCGCACGAGUUAACAUCCUAGUGACUUCAGUUUCAAAUAAAUGGCACUGCGAGGUGUUUGGCAACUUCAGAAAUUGAUAGUUAGCUACUGUGACUGGGGAGGAAGUAGCAGGGGGAUCAGGGCCUUUAUGGAAACUCAUCUGCCGAUGUUUAAGGAAAAUAAUCCACAGCUAGAGGUGGUAACAGAGCUUACUCGCGGUCAGCACCCUCAUUUGAAAGGCCUCUAUAGGAACCAUAACCAGCGGGUGAUUUGUGUCAAAAAUAUGACACCAGAGGACAUACUAUUGCAUGCAACCAGGCUAAGGAAUGCUUUGGGUAGGAAGGUCGUGAAGCUUAGGACAAGGCAUGUCACCAAGCACCCAAGUGCUCAAGGCACGUGGACAACUGCGCUCGAAUUUUGAGUGUGGACAACCUAGUUUCUUUUAGAGAAGGAAAAUGAUAUUACUGAUUUGGGGUUUUUCAAGUGAAUUGAGAGUUUGCAAGAGAGAUUAGAGUAUUACUUGACUAAUUGUCAAAAUUGUGUUCGGACAAAAGUAUCCAAAUUUGGCACCACCGACAAAUUGUUAUAUUAUUGAAGGAAUUAAGUUCAAGAAUCAAGCAACGUAUUUGAGGCUUUUGGAGGUUCUAUAAUGAACUCUGCAUAAGAGUUGCAUAACAUUUGAUUAAAUUAUAUUUAUAAUGCAAGGCAUACCA